rnacentral:rRNA from 1 species
UACAGAGGGGGCAAGCGUUGUCCGGAUUUACUGGGCGUAAAGCGUGCGCAGGCGGCGCGUUAAGACAGGUGUGAAAGCCCCGAGCUUAACUUGGGAAUUGCGCUUGUGACUGGCGUGCUGGAGUGUGGCAGAGGGAGGUGGAAUUCCACGUGCAGCAGUGAAAUGCGUAGAGAUGUGGAGGAACACCGAUGGCGAAGGCAGCCUCCUGGGCCAGCACUGACGCUCAUGCACGAAAGCGUGGGGAGCAAACAGG